CCUACGGGUGGCAGCAGUGAGGAAUAUUGGUCAAUGGACGAGAGUCUGAACCAGCCAAGUAGCGUGAAGGAUGACUGCCCUAUGGGUUGUAAACUUCUUUUAUAUGGGAAUAAAACGUUCCACGUGUGGGAUUUUGUAUGUACCAUAUGAAUAAGGAUCGGCUAACUCCGUGCCAGCAGCCGCGGUAAUACGGAGGAUCCGAGCGUUAUCCGUAUUUAUUGGGUUUAAAGGGAGCGUAGGUGGAUUGUUAAGUCAGUUGUGAAAGUUUGCGGCUCAACCGUAAAAUUGCAGUUGAAACUGGCAGUCUUGAGUACAGUAGAGGUGGGCGGAAUUCGUGGUGUAGCGGUGAAAUGCUUAGAGAUCACGAAGAACUCCGAUUGCGAAGGCAGUUCACUGGACUGCAACUGACACUGAGGCUCGAAAGUGUGGGUAUCAAACAGGAUUAGAUACCCCAGUAGUC
rnacentral:rRNA from 1 species